rnacentral:piRNA from 1 species
UUGGUUUUGUUCUAGAAACGUCUGCUGUUC